rnacentral:misc_RNA from 1 species
ACGAUGUAAAAAUGCACAACAUAUUGCAUACGACUUUGAUAUGACAGUUAUCCACACAACAGGUACUAAUGUAAUAAGGAAUAUACAACGGUUACAGACCCAGUUUCCGAUCAGUUUCCGGCCGAUUUGAAAAUAAUUUCAAUUUUGCAAUCGAGAUCCGUCGCAAGCAAAAUAUUACCAGCGAUGGAUCUGAGCGAACCAAAACGCAACAGGGCGCGUGGGGGUGCGGAAUGUUUUGGUAUCGCUCUCGCGCUCGAAGAACGGGAAAGAAAAAUUUAACGUCUGUAGACAUGCAGGCUGAUGCGGUUGGUUGUAGAGAUAACAGUCCAUUAGUCAUUAGCAAAAGAGAUUGUAUUGCGGUCAUUCUAAAACCGAGCUAUUAACAGGAGACAAAACAACGUUAACGUGACGUAGACGAUUAUUGACUCGUUUGACUGAGGAAUAAAGGAAGACUGACAGUUUAAUACCUAAACGUCGAUCGAAUUUACUUAGUGGCAUGGAAAUUACGACACAUGCAGAAAGGAAGCGGAACACUUCAACUCUCUAAUAGAAGUUUCGGCGCCGCGGCGCUGUUGCCUUGAGGAAUUCUUGCACGAGCGUCCGUUUUGUUAGAGAAGACCUAUCGAGGGUGAAAGUGAAAUCAAGAAAUGUAUAUUGAACUUCUCCAAGAUUUCAUUGUCGCGAGAGCUGUUCAAGUUAUUCUUCAGGCAGUACAGCUGGCUGCCUUAUGUCCUACUGAUAAUUGUCCGACAGGCGGAUUCUUCUUCGCUCCUGGAAGACACAUGGUAAACAACCACGCCCUUCUUGGUCACGUGUUUGAUAACUUGACAGUCAGAGAGCCAGUCGAGUGCUUUAGAAGAUGUCGGUGUGACUGUCGCUGCAUCUCUUUCAACUAUCUGACGCAUGUGAUCGAAAAUAACUGUGAACUGAAUGAAGAAAGCAGACAUACCAAUUCCAGCGCGCUGAAACCUCUGCAAGGAUCCCAGUACUAUGAUCUGGUUGAUAACUACGACAUUAUUGCCGAUGUUCCUCAUACCGAAUGCCAGAACGGAUGUUGUGGAAGUCAGCCAUGCCUUAACGGAGGAACCUGUCACGAGACUUGUGAUGUCACGGGCAAGAGAUUCACGUGCUCAUGCAAUCCACACUUCACGGGAAGAUUUUGCGAAACCGGAUGUUUCAAAGCGUUUGGAGAGAAGGUAAACUGGUUCGAAGCUCAACAAACCUGUAAGACUCUAAACGCUAGUCUUGUGUCGAUACACAGCGCCGAGGAAAACAAUUUCCUUCUGGACUUCGUUCGUCUUCAAGUUGCCUCGAACACGUCGGCAGCUUGGAGUGGACUCAACAAAUUGACAGAUCGAGACUUUGAAUGGGUUGAUGGAUAUAACGUGUCAUUCACCAAAUGGCUUCCUGGUGCACCAUUUGAUGAGGAAGAUGACAACUGCACCGUAGUAUUUGUGGAUUAUCCACCAAGCGGUUAUUGGAAAAACGUAAAUUGCUUCAAUAUCAAACGGCAUUAUAUCUGUAGCUGCAAUUGCAGUAGCAAGGAUUGCACUUUUGUUUGAGCCAUCUCAAGGUCAGACACGUAAUUAAAGUGUUACUUUUGAUAAUUCCAUUUAUUUAUUAUUUGUCCCACGCUGUGGCUAUAUUCCGAGUCAGUCUAUAGUGAGUCUUCCAUUUUUGCCUCGUGUCCACGUGACUUUGGUCACGUGAACACGAGAUUAUGCUGUGAAUUUGGAACAUUCCUCUAUAACCAUUCUUUGGGUUCUUACUGUAAGAUUCCUGUGAAGGAUGGUAGAUAGGUAGGUAGCGGAUAGACAUGGUUCAGGCACAGGGCACCCAGACAAACUGUUUCUGUGCUGUGCACAUUGACAUUUUUAUAACCAAUGUAUGGGAUUUACAGAGCACCUCGCAGAAUUGCUUAAAAUCACGAAAAUAUGAACAAAUACUUGCUCAAUAAAAGUGAAGAUAUAUCAUAUAUAUGGUGUACUGUCGUUCUUUUGGCUCAAAAUUGCCAAUUUGAGAAGGUUUGAAGGAUUCAGUUUACGUUCGCAGGUUACUAUAGAUAUAAUAAUGAAAGUUUGGAAAGUCCCAACGGCUCAAAACUGGAACAGCUCCAGCGCCGAGGCGGUUUUCGACCUGAAAAUCCCAUCGCUCGGCUUCCAAACUAAACAAAAGAGGAAAGUUCCGCGAAUCUUCUUGGAUCAUUCAAUCGAAAAUUCAUCCAAAAGCCCACUACUAGCCUUCGAACAAAACCCAGGGCCGAAAACUUCCAAGCCGUCGGAAUGCGUAGCGACAAAAAGUUGUGCCGGAGGGAAAGCGCUAUUCCCUAGCCUCUGUCUGACUGGAUACAGUUAAACAAUGGCCGUUAAAAGACCUUCCCGAGAAUAGGGUGGCACCAGGUGGCAUAGGCAAAACCAAUACAUGAGCAGUGAUGUCAAUGGCGCGAUUCAACCUAGGGAACCUUAGGCAGUAAAGACGAAAGGCGACGCAUAUUUAAAUUGCGUCGUCAAAUUUUAAUAUGGGUCGACAUAGUUGAAUUUAUUUAAGAAUAACUUAGAUCUGUUUGGUAUAUCUACCGCGUAUAAAGAAUAUUAUGUCGAGAAAGCGCUCAUCGCAAAGAUAGGGAAUUUUUUAUAGCUUUAAAAAAAAAGAAAACGCCUGGAAUAGGGAUUUUCAAAUCGUUGUUUUGCAGAGGAUUGCAAAUUAAUUCACGUGAAUUAAUUUCGUGCAGAGAUUAUUGUUGUGCCGUAUUUAGUCUUUUGUUCGGUGACAUUCUUGGGCGUUUAAUUCCUGAACAUCGGCUACCAUUACAUUUUAGCCGCGACAGUGUUGUUCUUACACUUGGCGGGGAUUAGUCGACGCAGUUCAUUCGUAAUUCUACCGGAAGCUGCCAGCUCUCAUGCCAGCUUGUACACAGGCUGGCAUGAAGCACUGUCUAAACUUUGAAGCAAUAUGCAAAGUACCCGGAACGUAUUCUCGCUGACUGGUUUUCGAUUCUCUGAUAUCAGUAUCAUUUCAAUCCAUGAAAUAACGCAACAAACAACAAAUUUAAGCUUAAAAUCACGGUCUCAAAUACAGAGCCGCGUAAAAGUUCCUGAAAUGGAAGACAUGGAAUUCUAAACUGUGCGAUAAUCUGUUUUAGGAAACCCUUUUAAUAAAGGUAAAUACUGAAGUCCCAAAAACCUAAAUGCAACCCUAACAUAAGUAAAAUCUAGUGAUCACAUUGAGCAGAUUAAAAACUAUCACAUAAUGCGCACUUUCCGAGAGUAAGCAAACAGGUACAAAAAUUAAUUGUCAAUAAGGGUGGAAUCGGGCCAGAUCGAGGCAGAUCGAAUUUUAUUCGAAAAAUUGACGGAAGUAGAAAUGUAUCCUGUCUACUUGAUCUAGCGUUACGCUUGCAUUACACUAUUUUGCUAGUUAUCCCGGACGUAGGGCAUUUAAUCACCUAAUAUGAUGCUAACAUGGGGCAGUUAAUUCGACCAAACGAAAAUUCCAAAUGUGAAAUACCGGGGGGGAAGGGUGUUAAUUAAUUUACCAGUGCACAACAGGCUGUUAGAACUCAGGUCCGAAAAUUUGCAUCUGCAGUUAAUCAUACAUUUAGGAUGGAUUAGGAGAACAAAAGGCAUGAAAAAAUUAUGUUAACACGGCUGUCGAAGAACAAAACAAAUUCAGUCGUCCCUUAAUGUGUUCACCUCACCACUUCUCCACCGAAUGUAAUACGAAAAAACGCGACUAAUGAAAAUUCUCCAUAUAAAUUUUUCCUCAUAUAUUAAGUGUUCUUAUGGCUGUUACAGAACAACAUAUGAUAGUCUCUUGUUUUUCAUUUUGAAAUGUUUUGCACGUCGGUUAAUUGUUAUGCGCAACGUUUUCUUUAAAACCAUUGUCUUUUCAGUGCCCAAGGGUAUUGUAACUAUUCUGUUAAAAUUAAAAUGCCACAUUUAGCCCAAAACUAGAGACAAUAUGGUUUUAAUACUCCGACAGCAUAUUGACCAAAGAUGAAUAUUCAUUAUCUUUCUAUUUGGCGAUGGAAAUUUCAGGGAAAGCAAUAACAACGCAACGUAAUCUUUUUUUAAACCACCUGCUGAUAAAGAACACAGAAGUCGAGAGCUAGUGGAACAAGUAAUUUCACACUAACAAUUGCGACCGACAAAGGAUGAAAAGCGACUACAUUCUCUACCGAGUUGAAUUCGACUGGAUUGCGGAAACUUGUUGUGAAUCUGAUCAAAAUUUGGCGACAGUUAUCGUCCGAUGAAAAUACGACGCGUUUACGAAGAACUUCUGAAGCAGAAAAAGCGAGCAGUGCUUCGAUUGAAGUGCCUUUCAGGGGCGACCGCUUUUCUGUUCUUCGCCGUUUUUCUCAUGGCACUUCUUGGUAUAGAUGUCGUUCAAAAACUCGCCAAAGGCUUCGAUUUUGAGAGUGGAACUUGUGUCGUAAAAGAAUCAAUUUUUACUGGUGAAAAUGUCAGCUGUAACUGUGGAAUGCGCACUUGUUUCAGUCGUUAUCCUUGUUUGCGUGUUUUUGUAAGAAUAUCAGUGGAACCAGAGCAAAGCGAACCCGUCCUCUUGCACAACACUUUUUACGACCUCAUCGGAUCAAAAUGUACUUACGGACCACCUUGCAAAGCAAAUGAGAAAGAAAACAUGGCCUCCGUACUAGACUUUAAGAAUCAAAACGGACAGAAAGGAACAGUUUUAAAAUGCUUCUAUGACCGAAAUGAACCCACAGAAGUAAUCCUGGAUGACAGCGCUCACAAAAUGAUAACCUUUCACGCCUUUUUCUGGCCGAGUUGUGUCUUCUUCAUGGGUUUAUGCCUGCUGCUAAAGGUCUAUUGCUCGAAAAAAGCUCAGAAAAAGCAAGUGUUCAUAUCCGAGGAUAUUUUGUGUGAAACAAUUGCUAAUAAUAAUGUAUCUAAUUAUCAUGAGACCAACGAAAGUCUUUGACAGAUCACUCAAAAAGGCUGUUUAAUAAUAAAUCAUAUUGAAAACACGACGGCUACGUAGUACUUUAACUAUCCUGCGAGACAGAGCGAAGGGAAUCUUUGUCUCGCAGAGUAACUUCGUUAAAACCAGUCACCGUAAACACAAGUAAGUCAGGUAUUCUUACAGAUGCCUUGUGUGAAAGCAUUUUUUGUUGUUCACAAUUAAGACAAAUGCCCAUCGAUCGAGCGAGCUAUGUUUAAAUACCGUGUUGCGUGCUGUCUGGAAGAUAAGUGCUGGUGCAUUGAAAACAGCAAAAAAAUUGGAUUAACUCACGUGAUAGGAAAAGCUGGCUCGACUUUGUCUUAUAAAGCAAGAGAGGACACGACAAGAUUUCAUGAUAGUCGCUACUAUUGCCUUAGAUAGGGGUCAGAGCCACCUUAAAGUUUUGGAAAUAUAUGGUGGCUCUGAACCCCAUGUACAGAAUGUUUUUACUCUGCCAAAAGUUGCGUCUUAUUAUGCUUAUUAAAAUUUGAUAAUACAUAAAAAAUUUCAAGGUGCAGUGCCCUGAGAAAUUGGUUUCAUUGAAUUUGUAUGAAGCAAACAAGAAAUUUAAAGAAGCUUAAUACUGGGCGCCAAAGGGUUAACUCCUAAACAAUCACUUGCUAUCGGGAUUAUGCGAGGAAUACAAAUGUAACGCUAAAUCUGCUUUGCGUGCAUGAUUAACAGUCGUCUGUUACCUUAAGGGCGUAUAAAAUAAAUAGCGGGGUUAAAAUAGAAAUUGGUCGUCAUCUGAAACGUCACUUGAGAAUUAUUGCUAGAAAUUGUGGUUGAGGGGUUUAGAGGGAUCUGAUCAGCCAAUCACCCGAACGAGCCAUCUCCUCGCGCAUUUAACCUCCCACCCUCCCCUCCCUGUCCUCCUGCUCUCUAUGGAUAAGGCAGAUGACCAAUCAGGAUUCCUGUCUCUCGAGGUCUCAACAUUUUACCCUCUCUCUCUCUUCUCAGCACCAUAGCGGUGUUGUUGGAAGAGUGAAGUAUGGGGUGAGCCACCGUUACCAUUUGUAUUUUAACGAAAAGGAAAACCAGAAAAUUCGGAGAGAAAACUUACUCCAUGCUAGAGGAGUAACAAAACGACCGACUGCCUAAUUUGAACUUGGGGUCAACAAAGGAGGGAUGGCGUACCCAAAAAACUCAUCCAUCUUGCCCUCCAAUACUUUUCAAACCCAACAUUUAAACAAAGCCAAACAUCUAAGGAAACAAACAGAAACGAGAAAUGUUGUUCCGAAGCACUCAACCGAAAUAGACUUGUUUGAUCGGAAGUUGUCAAGGAACAAUUGAGAAAUGUUUACUUUGAAUUCUCAAUAGCCAAGUAGACGAGUGUUAUUUCGCAUUGGAAACGCUCUACAACAAAAGUUUAUAUAACUGAAGCUAUCUGACCUAGAACUAACCUGGGUGAAGGAAGAAUACCUUUUUCGCAGCGGAUGAUAUUACUAGACAAACGGCGACACGGGAAAGCACAACGCAAUAGCUAUAUAGCUAUUUCACUGGUCGCGCAAUGAGCGUUUUACAGUCAAAAUUAUUCGGAAAGUAACAAAGAUGCCGUCCCAACUUCCUCUCAACAUUUCCCUAACUCCCUCCCAACCCAAAAUAAGGGGUAUCGAAUGGUUUCAUUCAGUUUAAAGGUGCUCGUAAAAUUCCGCGUUUGCUCGAAUUGCUCGCAAAAAUUAACUUAGUGCUCGGUUACUCGUGCUCGCAAAUUAUUUGCCACUGCUCACAUGCUCGGAUUCUGAAGUCUGGUAGCUUUUAGCUUCUUUUCGUUGUGUGGUUUGAAAGUUUUAGAUCUCCUUGAUCGAUUAAGCGUCCACUCUUCCAAGCGACGCACGUGAAGCUACAUCAAACAAGGUAUAAUUG